AGCAGUUGCUAGACAGGAAGUACCUGAGAAGACAAAAGAAAGUCCAGGGGCACCGUGGCAGUUUGUUGGUUGAUUGCCUUUAUUUGAUCCACCUAGGCAUGAUGGUGCAGACACCAUCAAAAGAGCUCUCAAUCUUGGAGUGAAUGUAAAGAUGAUUACUGGUGAUCAGCUUGCAAUUGGCAAGGAAACUGGUCGGCGGCUGGGAAUGGGAACAAACAUGUAUCCAUCUUCUGCAUUGCUUGGCCAAGACAAGGAUGCAUCCGUUGCGGCCCUCCCUGUCGAUGAGUUGAUUUAGCAGGCUGAUGGAUUUGCUGGAGUAUUU